AUGACUUUAUUUGAUGUUAAUCCCACUAUCUUGGAAGAUUAUAAAACUUUUAUGCAUGUGGAUUAUGAAGAGAAAAUUUUAUAUGAUAGCUAUAUUGUUGAAUUUGAUUAUGAUACUACAUGUAAUCAUUAUGAGAGAGGAAAAUAUGGUUGUAGAAAUUUCCAUGUUACUAAUUUACCUCUCGUUAUGUUGAGAUUGCUAUUGUUUCUUUCUUCUUCCGUGCUUAUGCUAUAUAUUUCUUGUCUUGAUAAUUUGUUUUCUUAUAAAAUCCCUAUGCAUCAGAAGUAUGUUGGACUUAAAUGA
rnacentral:rRNA from 1 species